UUUUAUGGAGAGUUUGAUCCUGGCUCAGGAUGAACGCUGGCGGCGUGCCUAAUACAUGCAAGUCGAGCGAACGGACGAGAAGCUUGCUUCUCUGAUGUUAGCGGCGGACGGGUGAGUAACACGUGGAUAACCUACCUAUAAGACUGGGAUAACUUCGGGAAACCGGAGCUAAUACCGGAUAAUAUUUUGAACCGCAUGGUUCAAAAGUGAAAGACGGUCUUGCUGUCACUUAUAGAUGGAUCCGCGCUGCAUUAGCUAGUUGGUAAGGUAACGGCUUACCAAGGCAACGAUGCAUAGCCGACCUGAGAGGGUGAUCGGCCACACUGGAACUGAGACACGGUCCAGACUCCUACGGGAGGCAGCAGUAGGGGAUCUUCCGCAAUGGGCGAAAGCCUGACGGAGCAACGCCGCGUGAGUGAUGAAGGUCUUCGGAUCGUAAAACUCUGUUAUUAGGGAAGAACAUAUGUGUAAGUAACUGUGCACAUCUUGACGGUACCUAAUCAGAAAGCCACGGCUAACUACGUGCCAGCAGCCGCGGUAAUACGUAGGUGGCAAGCGUUAUCCGGAAUUAUUGGGCGUAAAGCGCGCGUAGGCGGUUUUUUAAGUCUGAUGUGAAAGCCCACGGCUCAACCGUGGAGGGUCAUUGGAAACUGGAAAACUUGAGUGCAGAAAAGGAAAGUGGAAUUCCAUGUGUAGCGGUGAAAUGCGCAGAGAUAUGGAGGAACACCAGUGGCGAAGGCGACUUUCUGGUCUGUAACUGACGCUGAUGUGCGAAAGCGUGGGGAUCAAACAGGAUUAGAUACCCUGGUAGUCCACGCCGUAAACGAUGAGUGCUAAGUGUUAGGGGGUUUCCGCCCCUUAGUGCUGCAGCUAACGCAUUAAGCACUCCGCCUGGGGAGUACGACCGCAAGGUUGAAACUCAAAGGAAUUGACGGGGACCCGCACAAGCGGUGGAGCAUGUGGUUUAAUUCGAAGCAACGCGAAGAACCUUACCAAAUCUUGACAUCCUUUGACAACUCUAGAGAUAGAGCCUUCCCCUUCGGGGGACAAAGUGACAGGUGGUGCAUGGUUGUCGUCAGCUCGUGUCGUGAGAUGUUGGGUUAAGUCCCGCAACGAGCGCAACCCUUAAGCUUAGUUGCCAUCAUUAAGUUGGGCACUCUAAGUUGACUGCCGGUGACAAACCGGAGGAAGGUGGGGAUGACGUCAAAUCAUCAUGCCCCUUAUGAUUUGGGCUACACACGUGCUACAAUGGACAAUACAAAGGGCAGCGAAACCGCGAGGUCAAGCAAAUCCCAUAAAGUUGUUCUCAGUUCGGAUUGUAGUCUGCAACUCGACUACAUGAAGCUGGAAUCGCUAGUAAUCGUAGAUCAGCAUGCUACGGUGAAUACGUUCCCGGGUCUUGUACACACCGCCCGUCACACCACGAGAGUUUGUAACACCCGAAGCCGGUGGAGUAACCUUUUAGGAGCUAGCCGUCGAAGGUGGGACAAAUGAUUGGGGUGAAGUCGUAACAAGGUAGCCGUAUCGGAAGGUGCGGCUGGAUCACCUCCUUUCUAA
rnacentral:rRNA from 1 species